GCGCCUGUAGCUCAGCGGUAGAGCACCUGUCUUAUACACAGAGGGUCCUUGGUUCAAAUCCAAGCAGGCGCA
rnacentral:tRNA from 4 species